rnacentral:misc_RNA from 1 species
AAAAAGUUACUCAUGCCCUAAACAAAGCACAUCAGAAGAAACACCUGAAUAUGGUGCUGAAUGUAAACAUACUGAAAUAUCAGAACAGAAACAUCAGAUUAUGUCAGAAACUGUACAAACUGAACCAGGUGAUACUAAUACUGUAGUUUCCCAAUCUGGUGCUAGUGAAGCAUUGCAACAGUCGUCUGAUGAUGCAAUGAAAAAUUCUCUUACUGAAAAUUUGGAAGCGCCAUCUGAAGAUGCAUGCAAGAGUAGUUUGACUGAUAAAAGUUUAGGCCCUAAGCCA